rnacentral:rRNA from 1 species
AGAGUUGAUCAUGGCUCAGGAUGAACGCUGGCGGCGUGCUUAACACAUGCAAGUCGAACGGAGCUUAGAAGGAAGCUUGCUUCAUUAAGCUUAGUGGCGGACGGGUGAGUAACGCGUGAGCAACCUGCCCUCGAGUGGGGAAUAACAUCGAGAAAUCGGUGCUAAUACCGCAUAAUGUCGAGAGACCGCAUGAUCUUUCGACCAAAGGAUUUAUUCGCUUGAGGAUGGGCUCGCGUCCGAUUAGCUAGUUGGUGAGGUAACGGCCCACCAAGGCUUCGAUCGGUAGCCGAACUGAGAGGUUGAUCGGCCACAUUGGGACUGAGACACGGCCCAGACUCCUACGGGAGGCAGCAGUGGGGAAUAUUGGGCAAUGGGCGAAAGCCCUGACCCAGCAACGCCGCGUGAAGGAUGAAGGUCUUCGGAUUGUAAACUUCUUUGACUGGGGAAGAAUAAAAUGACCUACCCAAAGAACAAGCCACGGCUAACUACGUGCCAGCAGCCGC